rnacentral:rRNA from 1 species
GAUGAACGCUGGCGGCGUGCUUAACACAUGCAAGUCGAACGCUCAAACACCAGGUUUCUUGUGUUGAUGAUUGGCGCACGCGUGAGUAAUACGUGAGUAACCUGCCCUUGACUCUCGGAUAAGCCCUCGGAACUGGGGCGAAUACUGGAUGCUACAUGUCACCGCAUGUUGUUGUGUGGAAAAGGUUUACUUGUCUUGGAUUUGCUCACGGCCUAUCAGCUUGUUGGCUAGUUAAUGCGUAACCAAGGCGACGACGCGUAGCUGGCCUGCGAAGGUGACCGGCGACACUGGGACUGAGGGACGGCACAGACACCUAAGGGAGGGAGAAGGGGGGAAGAUUGAACGAGGGGCGAAGGCUGGAUGCAGAGACGCCGCGUGAGGGAUGACGGCCUUAGGGGUGUAAAACAAUUUUAGAAGGGAAGAAGCAACAAGUGACGGUACCUGCAGAAGAAGCGACGGCUAACUACGUG